GUAGUCUGNAACCCGACUACAUGAAGCUGGAAUCGCUAGUAAUCGCAGGUCAGCAUACUGCGGUGAAUACGUUCCCGGGUCUUGUACACACCGCCCGUCACACCAUGGGAGCCGGAAAUGCCCGAAGCCAGUGACCCAACCUUAGGGAGGGAGCUGUCGAAGGUGGAGCCGGUAACUGGGGUGAAGUCGUAACAAGGUACC
rnacentral:rRNA from 1 species